rnacentral:rRNA from 1 species
UACGGAGGGUGCAAGCGUUAUCCGGAUUCACUGGGUUUAAAGGGUGCGUAGGUGGGAAGGUAAGUCAGUGGUGAAAUCCCCGAGCUUAACUUGGGAACUGCCAUUGAUACUAUCUUUCUUGAAUACCUUGGAGGUGAGCGGAAUAUGUCAUGUAGCGGUGAAAUGCUUAGAUAUGACAUAGAACACCAAUUGCGAAGGCAGCUCACUACACGGUCAUUGACACUGAGGCACGAAGCGUGGGGAUCAAACAGGA